rnacentral:rRNA from 1 species
UACGUAUGGUGCAAGCGUUAUCCGGAAUGACUGGGUGUAAAGGGAGCGUAGACGGUUGUACAAGUCUGAUGUGAAAGCCCACGGCUCAACUGUGGGAGUGCAUUGGAACCUGUAGAACUAGAGUAUCGGAGAGGCAAGUGGAAUUCCUAGUGUAGCGGUGAAAUGCGUAGAUAUUAGGAGGAACACCAGUGGCGAAGGCGGCUUGCUGGACGAAAACUGACGUUGAGGCUCGAAAGCGUGGGGAGCAAACAGG